GAUGAACGCUGGCGGCGUGCCUAAUACAUGCAAGUCGAGCGAACAGACGAGGAGCUUGCUCCUCUGACGUUAGCGGCGGACGGGUGAGUAACACGUGGAUAACCUACCUAUAAGACUGGGAUAACUGGGAAACCGGAGCUAAUACCGGAUAAUAUACUGAACCGCAUGGUUCAAUAGUGAAAGACGGUUUUGCUGUCACUUAUAGAUGGAUCCGCGCCGCAUUAGCUAGUUGGUAAGGUAACGGCUUACCAAGGCGACGAUGCGUAGCCGACCUGAGAGGGUGAUCGGCCACACUGGAACUGAGACACGGUCCAGACUCCUACGGGAGGCAGCAGUAGGGAAUCUUCCGCAAUGGGCGAAAGCCUGACGGAGCAACGCCGCGUGAGUGAUGAAGGUCUUCGGAUCGUAAAACUCUGUUAUUAGGGAAGAACAAAUGUGUAAGUAACUAUGCACGUCUUGACGGUACCUAAUCAGAAAGCCACGGCUAACUACGUG
rnacentral:rRNA from 1 species